CAGUCGCCACGGUAAUGCGUAGGGUGCAAGCGUUAAUCGGAAUUACUGGGCGCAAAGCGUGCGCAGGCGGUUCGUUAAGACAGAUGUGAAAUCCCCGGGCUUAACCUGGGAACUGCAUUUGUGACUGGCGGGCUAGAGUAUGGCAGAGGGGGGUAGAAUUCCACGUGUAGCAGUGAAAUGCGUAGAGAUGUGGAGGAACACCGAUGGCGAAGGCAGCCCCCUGGGCCAAUACUGACGCUCAUGCACGAAAGCGUGGGGAGCAAACAGGAUUAGAUACCCCUGUAGUCCCUGUCUCUUAUAC
rnacentral:rRNA from 1 species